rnacentral:rRNA from 1 species
GUGAGGAAUAUUGGUCAAUGGGCGGAAGCCUGAACCAGCCAAGUAGCGUGCAGGAUGACGGCCCUAUGGGUUGUAAACUGCUUUUAUACGGGGAUAAAGUGCGCCACGUGUGGAGCAUUGCAGGUACCGUAUGAAUAAGGACCGGCUAAUUCCGUGCCAGCAGCCGCGGUAAUACGGAAGGUCCGGGCGUUAUCCGGAGUUAUUGGGUUUAAAGGGAGCGCAGGCCGGAAGCAAAGCGUGCCGUGAAAUGUAGAUGCUCAACAUCUGAAUUGCGGCGCGAACUGGUUUUCUUGAGUGCAUACGAGGUAGGCGGAAUUUGUGGUGUAGCGGUGAAAUGCUUAGAUAUCACGAAGAACUCCGAUUGCGAAGGCAGCCUACCAGGAUGUAACUGACGCUAAAGCUCGAAAGUGCGGGUAUCGAACAGGAUUAGAAACCCGUGUAGUCC